GAUGAACGCUGGCGGCGUGCCUAACACAUGCAAGUCGAGCGAUUUACUUCGGUAAAGAGCGGCGGACGGGUGAGUAACGCGUGGGUAACCUGCCCUGUACACACGGAUAACAUACCGAAAGGUAUGCUAAUACGAGAUAAUAUGCUUUUAUCGCAUGGUAGAAGUAUCAAAGCUCCGGCGGUACAGGAUGGACCCGCGUCUGAUUAGCUAGUUGGUAAGGUAACGGCUUACCAAGGCGACAAUCAGUAGCCGACCUGAGAGGGUGAUCGGCCACAUUGGAACUGAGACACGGUCCAAACUCCUACGGGAGGCAGCAGUGGGGAAUAUUGCACAAUGGGCGAAAGCCUGAUGCAGCAACGCCGCGUGAGCGAUGAAGGCCUUCGGGUCGUAAAGCUCUGUCCUCAAGGAAGAUAAUGACGGUACUUGAGGAGGAAGCCCCGGCUAACUACGUGCCAGCAGCCGCGGUAAUACGUAGGGGGCUAGCGUUAUCCGGAAUUACUGGGCGUAAAGGGUGCGUAGGUGGUUUCUUAAGUCAGAGGUGAAAGGCUACGGCUCAACCGUAGUAAGCCUUUGAAACUGGGAAACUUGAGUGCAGGAGAGGAGAGUGGAAUUCCUAGUGUAGCGGUGAAAUGCGUAGAUAUUAGGAGGAACACCAGUUGCGAAGGCGGCUCUCUGGACUGUGACUGACACUGAGGCACGAAAGCGUGGGGAGCAAACAGGAUUAGAUACCCUGGUAGUCCACGCCGUAAACGAUGAGUACUAGCUGUCGGAGGUUACCCCCUUCGGUGGCGCAGCUAACGCAUUAA
rnacentral:rRNA from 1 species